GGGCCGGUAGCUCAGCUUGGCUAGAGCACUCGACUGAUAAUCGAGAGGUCGAGGGUUCAAAUCCCUUCCGGCCCA
rnacentral:tRNA from 1 species